UACGUAGGUGGCAAGCGUUGUCCGGAUUUAUUGGGCGUAAAGGGUGCGUAGGCGGUCAUUUAAGUCAGAUGUGAAGUACCCGAGCUUAACUUGGGUGCUGCAUUUGAAACUGGGUGUCUAGAGUGCAGGAGAGGUAAGUGGAAUUCCUAGUGUAGCGGUGAAAUGCGUAGAGAUUAGGAAGAACACCAGUGGCGAAGGCGACUUACUGGACUGUAACUGACGCUGAGGCAUGAAAGCGUGGGGAGCAAACAGG
rnacentral:rRNA from 1 species